UACGUAGGGGGCAAGCGUUGGUCCGGAUUUAUUGGGCGUAAAGAGCGUGUAGGCGGCCAGACAGGUCCGUUGUGAAAACUCGAGGCUUAACCUCGAGAUGUCAUCGGAAACCAUCUGGCUAGAGUCCGGAAGAGGAGAGUGGAAUUCCGUGGUGUAGCGGUGAAAUGCGGCAGAUAUCAGGAAGAACACCAAUGGCGAAAAGCAGCUCUCUGGGGACGG
rnacentral:rRNA from 1 species